rnacentral:rRNA from 1 species
CCUACGGGUGGCAGCAGUGGGGAAUAUUGGACAAUGGGGGGAACCCUGAUCCAGCCAUGCCGCGUGUGUGAAGAAGGCCCUCGGGUUGUAAAGCACUUUCAGUGAGGAAGAACGCCUGGUGGUUAAUACCCAUCAGGAAAGACAUCACUCACAGAAGAAGCACCGGCUAACUCCGUGCCAGCAGCCGCGGUAAUACGGAGGGUGCGAGCGUUAAUCGGAAUUACUGGGCGUAAAGCGCGCGUAGGUGGCUUGAUAAGCCGGUUGUGAAAGCCCCGGGCUCAACCUGGGAACGGCAUCCGGAACUGUCAAGCUAGAGUGCAGGAGAGGAAGGUAGAAUUCCCGGUGUAGCGGUGAAAUGCGUAGAGAUCGGGAGGAAUACCAGUGGCGAAGGCGGCCUUCUGGACUGACACUGACACUGAGGUGCGAAAGCGUGGGUAGCAAACAGGAUUAGAUACCUUAGUAGUC